CGCUGGCGGCGUGCCUAAUACAUGCAAGUCGGGCGAACAGAUAAGGAGCUUGCUCCUUUGACGUUAGCGGCGGACGGGUGAGUAACACGUGGGUAACCUACCUAUAAGACUGGAAUAACUCCGGGAAACCGGGGCUAAUGCCGGAUAACAUGUUGAACCGCAUGGUUCUACAGUGAAAGGCGGCUUUGCUGUCACUUAUAGAUGGACCCGCGCCGUAUUAGCUAGUUGGUGAGGUAACGGCUCACCAAGGCAACGAUACGUAGCCGACCUGAGAGGGUGAUCGGCCACACUGGAACUGAGACACGGUCCAGACUCCUACGGGAGGCAGCAGUAGGGAAUCUUCCGCAAUGGGCGAAAGCCUGACGGAGCAACGCCGCGUGAGUGAUGAAGGUCUUCGGAUCGUAAAACUCUGUUAUUAGGGAAGAACAAAUGCGUAAGUAACUGUGCGCGUCUUGACGGUACCUAAUCAGAAAGCCACGGCUAACUACGUGCCAGCAGCCGCGGUAAUACGUAGGUGGCAAGCGUUAUCCGGAAUUAUUGGGCGUAAAGCGCGCGUAGGCGGUUUUUUAAGUCUGAUGUGAAAGCCCACGGCUCAACCGUGGAGGGUCAUUGGAAACUGAAAAACUUGAGUGCAGAAGAGGAAAGUGGAAUUCCAUGUGUAGCGGUGAAAUGCGCAGAGAUAUGGAGGAACACCAGUGGCGAAGGCGACUUUCUGGUCUGUAACUGACGCUGAUGUGCGAAAGCGUGGGGAUCAAACAGGAUUAGAUACCCUGGUAGUCC
rnacentral:rRNA from 1 species